UUCGAUAAUGGAGAACCGCGAAUGGCUCAUUACAACAGCCAUAGUUUAUUAGAUCUUACUCUACUUGGAUACCUGUGGUAACCUAAGAGCUAAUACAUGCAAUCAAGUCCUGACCUUGCGGGAAGGACGCAUUUAUUAGAACAAAGCCAAUCGGGCUUGCCCGUAGUUUGGUGAAUCUGAAUAACUAUGCUGAUCGCACAGUCCUCGCACUGGCGACUCAUCUUUCAAAUGUCUGGCUUAUCAACUUUCGACGGUAGUAUACACGGCUACCGUGGUGUUGACGGGUGACGGAGAAUUAGGGUUCGACUCCGGAGAGGGAGCCUGAGAAACGGCUACCACAUCCAAGGAAGGCAGCAGGCACGCAAAUUACCCACUCUCGGCACGGGGAGGUAGUGACGAAAAAUAACGAGACGGUUCUCUAAGAGGCCCGUCAUCGAAAUGGGUACAGCUUAAAUCCUUUAACGAGGAUCUAUUGGAGGGCAAGUCUGGUGCCAGCAGCCGCGGUAAUUCCAGCUCCAAAAGCGUAUAUUAAAGUUGUUGCGGUUAAAAAGCUCGUAGUUGGAUCUACGCCUUAGGUUGACGGUCCCCCAAAAGGGUGGUACUGUCCUACCUGGGCUAUUUUUCUGGUUUUCCCUUGGUGCUCUUUACCGAGUGCUUUGGGUGACUGGAACGUUUACUUUGAAAAAAUUAGAGUGCUCAAAGCAGGCGAUCUGCCUGGAUAGUGGUGCAUGGAAUAAUAGAAUAGGACUUCGGUUCUAUUUUGUUGGUUUCAAGAAUCGAGGUAAUGAUUAAGAGGGACAGACGGGGGCAUUCGUAUUGCGACGUUAGAGGUGAAAUUCUUGGAUCGUCGCAAGACGCACAACUGCGAAAGCAUUGCCAAGAAUGUUCAUAAUC
rnacentral:rRNA from 1 species